UUUGUUUCCUAUUCUUUUAUAUGUUUCCUACUCACAUGAGCCCAUCCUUGCUUUUUAAUCAAUCUCUAAAUCUAAUCUUCCUCCCAAUUUGAUAAUAUGUGUGCCAGUAUAGACGGAAAUUUCAUUAUGGUCUAAUUCUGACCGGUAAUAUAUACCAGGUUUUACAAUAUUUGAUUGAUGAGCAUGGGCAGAGUUUCAAGCUUGUAAAAUUGUUCAGUAUAUUCUCAUACCAAAAAAAAAGAAAAAAAAAAGGGGAAUUUGGCCCAAUGCCCUUCUUUUAAAGCCUUUAUACCCCUCAUUUCUUAGUUUUUUUUUAAUCUGCCCUCUGCUUUACAUUUUAUCCCCAAUGAAAGUAAAAAAUUACUCUACUUUCCUUUCUUCAUUUCCUUCAGUCCGAGAAACCCAGAGUCUUUAGUUUCUGCACUCUGUUUUUCUAUUUUUCUUCAUCCCCCAUAAAACCCACACACAAUCUCAUUAAGAGAAAAAAAAAAUCCAUGCUCCAUCUCCCUACAUCUCUUACCUUUUCUCUUGCAAGCAUAUGAAAGACUAAAGAAAAAUUGUGUUUGAGGUGAGCGGUAGUUGUGUAGAGGAGCUUUACUUUGAAAGUUUGCAGCAUCAAAUAGAAAGUGAUCUUAUGCCAAGUGCCCGAUGUGACCAAAGUGAUACUUAUGGUAUCCUUUUAGUUAUAUGUUCUAUGGCGAAUAUAAGUAAAUUUUUUUUUUUUUUACAAUUAGUUAAUAUUUAAAAAAGAUGUUAUACUUGCUAUAUGGACCAUGAGGUAUACUAUAUAUGUUGUUUAGUUUGCCCUAAUUUCUUUCUGUUUAGUUUUCAGCCAAGGUUGGAAUUUCUUAGGCUUGGCUGGUGGAACAUUAUUAAUUUUCAAGUUGAUUACAAAUAUGCAGUUGGGGAUAGGAUAGGUGAACUGUCUUAUACUUACUCCUAUUUAUGAAUUUGAGGUUGGUUGCCAAGAUGUGGUAUUAGUUUGCUUGUGGUUUUGUAUAAUAGGCUAAUGGCACUCAAGACUUCCAUGAUAAACUGAUAUUUACAGGUUGAGAAACCCAUACUAUUGGUUACAAUUCAAAAAAUGUGCUUGAAAAUGCCUUAGGUCAGGUGCAUAUCGUUAUCCUUGUGCACUUGGUUAUGAGGUUGAUGUAAUGUCCCUCCUUAACAUAUUGAAGUUGUGGGUUUAUUUUUAUUUUCAUUUAAUUUUUUUUUUGUCUAUAAGUAAUAAUCGCUGCCCCCACACCCUUUCUAUGAAUUUCAUGUAACAAUUGGUGUAUUACUAGAGUGGAUAUCACGAUGGUCUCAUAGCAAGAGAAGAAGCUGUAGCACAAGAGGGAUUUAAUAUUGGCUUUAAGGAAUCAGUCCUUGUUGGGUACAAAUGGGGUCUAGUUAGAGGUGAUACCAGGUAAAAGAAAACAAAAGAGGAAAAUAAUUUGAAUGCUCUGUUGUUUAUAGAGUUUUUAAUGAAAUUGCUAUAAGCAUAUGAUUAAAAAAGAAUUUAAAUGCUCUGUUGCUCAUAGAGUUUUUAAUGAAGUUGCUAUAAACAUAUGAUUAACUUCUUUUCUCUGCUACUUUUGUUUUCCCAUUUUGUCCAAUCUGCAUCCCCAUGAACUGCCUUCACUUUAGUUCCUGAGGACUUGAAAGAGGGCAUUUAAAUUCUCAAGAUGGUAACCAAACUCUCAAAGACAUGAAUUGUAUGGUUGCUUUUCAUAAGGGUUUGACAACGUGGGCUAAGUGGGUGGAUUCUACUAUGAAUCAUAGUAAAACCAAAGUCAUCUUCCAAGGGAUUUCUCUUACCCACUACCAUUAAGUUUACUUCUUUCCCAUCACCAAUUUUUAUUUUUGAAAACCAAAAAUUAAUUUCGUGAAUUUCUCUGAUGCUUUUUUUUUUCUUUCUUUUUUUUCCUUUUCAUAUUUAGUGGCAAGGGAUCGGAAUGAGCUAGGGGUGACAAACUGUGGAAAUGAGACAAAACUCCUAAGUGGAUCAGUCUAUCGAGGCGGAUUGCCCGAGGAAUUAUAUGUGGUGAAAGAUGUAUUAACUGGAAUGAGAAAACAUGUUCAUUUGCUUGACAUAACAACUUUAUCACAACUCAGAAAAGAUGCACAUCCUGGCUUUUAUAAUGGCUUUAGGCGCAUGGACUGUAACCAUUGGUGUAUUGCUGGACCUCUAGAUACUUGGAAUCAAUUUUUUAUGCAUUUCUCAUAAUUGUUAUGCUUGUUCUGGUAUUUUUAGUUUAUAAAAAUGAUCAUACGGUUGCUUAGGUCCUUCCUUCCAGCGAUCACAAUUUUUAAGGGAAUCAAGUUUCAAAACACGACCGAUCUUUUCAUUUUCAAUGUCAACCAGAUAUUGAGAGUUAAACAUCAUUAAUGAAACUCGACAAUCCUGGAUAAUUUAGAGUAUUUAAUAUAUUCAUAAUUUGAACCAUAAA